rnacentral:rRNA from 1 species
UACGGAGGGUGCAAGCAUUGAUCGGAAUUACUGGGCGUAAAGGGCGCGUAGGCGGUUAUAAAAGUCGGAUGUGAAAUUCCGGGGCUCAACCCCGGAGCUGCAUUUGAAACUCCUAAGCUAGAGGAUGGUUAGGGAAAACGGAAUUCCACGUGUAGCGGUGAAAUGCGUAGAUAUGUGGAAGAACACCAGUGGUGAAGACGGUUUUCUGGGCCAAACCUGACGCUGAGGCGCGAAAGCUAGGGGAGCAAACAGG